GGUUAAAAGCUCGUAGUUGAACCUUGGGCCUGGCUGGCCGGUCCGCCUCACCGCGUGCACUGGUCCGGCCGGGCCUUUCCCUCUGUGGAACCCCAUACCCUUCACUGGGCGUGGCGGGGAAACAGGACAUUUACUUUGAAAAAAUUAGAGUGCUCCAGGCAGGCCUAUGCUCGAAUACAUUAGCAUGGAAUAAUAAAAUAGGACGCGUGGUUCUAUUUUGUUGGUUUAUAGGACCGCCGUAAUGAUUAAUAGGGACAGUCGGGGGCAUCAGUAUUCAACUGUCAGAGGUGAAAUUCUUGGAUCAGUUGAAGACUAACUACUGCGAAAGCAUUUGCCAAGGAUGUUUUCAUUAAUCAGGAACGAAAGUUAGGGGAUCGAAGACGAUCAGAUACCGUCGUAGUCUUAACCAUAAACUAUGCCGACUAGGGAUCGGACGGUGUUAUUCAUGACCCGUUCGGCACCUUACGAGAAAUCAAAGUGCUUGGGCUCCAGGGGGAGUAUGGUCGCAAGGCCGAAACUUAAAGAAAUUGACGGAAGGGCACCACCAGGGGUGGAGCCUGCGGCUUAAUUUGACUCAACACGGGGAAACUCACCAGGUCCAGACACAAUAAGGAUUGACAGAUUGAGAGCUCUUUCUUGAUUUUGUGGGUGGUGGUGCAUGGCCGUUCUUAGUUGGUGGGGUGACUUGUCUGCUUAAUUGCGAUAACGAACGAGACCUUAACCUGCUAAAUAGCCCGCAUUGCUCC
rnacentral:rRNA from 1 species